rnacentral:rRNA from 1 species
UACGUAGGGGGCAAGCGUUGUCCGGAAUUACUGGGCGUAAAGGGCGUGUAGGCGGCGAUGUAAGUCAGACGUGAAAACUCCGGGCUUAACUUGGAGAUUGCGUUUGAAACUGGAUGGCCAGAGGAUCGGAGAGGGCAGUGGAAUUCCCAGUGUAGCGGUGAAAUGCGUAGAUAUUGGGAGGAACACCAGUGGCGAAGGCGGCUGCCUGGACGACACCUGACGCUGAGGCGCGAAAGCUAGGGGAGCAAACGGG